AUUCUUAAAAAAGGAAAUAAAAUUGUAGGUGCAACAAAUAUAAUUUGGUGUGUCUAAUAAGCACCUCCUAGAACAGUUGUAAUGGUUUGGGGGGCUUUGGUGCCAUACCAUGCAGGAAGCUAUGGAGUAAAAAGCUAUUUUCCAUAGGAAAUGAAAGGGAUUCUUUGAAAUAUUCAAUUCAAUUGUAGGUGCAACAAAUAAUUGUAUCCUUGGGUGUGUCUAAUGAGUACCACCUAGUACACAAUUGACAAACCAUAAAUGAUAUUUAGCAAUAAGCAAUUUUUAAUAGGAAAUGUAUGGGGUCUAUGUGAAAAGUAGGCAGUCAGGAGCAAGUGGGUGUCCCUUAAUUGUCCGCCAAGAUGCCAAGACUGAAAGAAAGGCAGGUACCACAGAUGAACCCAGAAAUUAACAUCCAACAACAAACUAACUUCGACAGCGGUGAAAGAUUACUGUUUAUAAACCGGUUGUAUAGCCCUUUGAACCUGUAUUUGUUUGUCCAGUCUCUAACAGACAUGUUUGCAAAAUCGAAAAUUAAUAGGCCACAAGUAAACCUGAGAGGUACGAUGUCUGCCAUGUGUGUCAGUGGUAUUUCAUACCAUAGUAGCAAGCUAAUGGCUGUAUAAUCUUAGGUAAAAGGUAUCAAAGAACCUAUCCAGGUUUGCAGAAUUAAAACUUAGUUUACUGAUUGAUUGUGCUUCAUGAAGUACACUGAAUAAUAUUACCCUGUGCAUUCACAGGAUGACACAGAGCAAGAAAUCGUCAGAAAGAAAUAGUGCUUUAGAAUCUUUAAUUACGAGUUACAAAAUAACAUGCAGGAUUACAUUACAUUACAUUAAGGGAUGUCCGGAACCAUCCCGGACAACAUGAGAAAAUAUACAGGUUGCAGAUCUCAAAGUAUUCAUCUGUAACAGAUGAACACUGGAAAUGUUGCAGUUAAAGCAGCGCACCUUAAUGUUGUUGAGGCCAUGGCUUAUGGUCAUCUGUGAUGCGAGGGCAUCACUCUACAGUGUCACCGCCUUCGACAGUCAUUGCUUAGGGUGGAUUCAGAAGGGAUCAAUCAACGACGCCUUUACACUGUGCCGUGCCCAAACUUCAAUUGGCAUGUGGAGGGUUAUAAUCAACUUACCAGGGGUUACCAGAAUGGUGAUGAACUUGUUGUUGCUCAAACAGAGCCAACACGGUGUCCACGGAAUACUUGCAUGCACUAGAGGAGUUUUGCAGACCACUGCACAUGACUAGGCUACUGCACUCAGGGGAGAGAAUAGUCUGGGAGGACAUGAGGAGUGUCAGAGGAGACUACUCUGAUCAGGGGAGGCUUUGUUCACAACCAACAGAUUGAACGUUUUAAGAGCGAUUGCAGCCAUUUUUAUGCCCCAGUUUUUUAUGAUUUGGGAUGAAAAUGUGUGUGCAGCCCCAGAGUCCAGUCAGACUCCUCCAGCCCUGCUCAUACUAGUUGUCCUGAGAACUACCCACACCCGGGGCGAGAGGACUGCCAUGGAGCUUUCAAUACCAAUGAUGUUAAGGAACGUACCGAUGCCACAGCAGUGUGAGAUGAAUUGGCUGUCCCAGUAGAUCUGACCUGCAGAGCUGCUGUUAUCCCAGCUGCAACCGCACGUCCCAUUAUGCGGUCCUAACCGCUAUUUCUCCCGAUUAAAAUUAGCUAGAUGUCAAAUAGACUGCUGUCCACCCAAUGCACGUGAUGCCACCUCCGAACUAGGACUGGUUAGUCAGAAUCAAAUCAGUAUAUAAUUAGCAUCUGUACGCAAUUAAGAUUUAGAUUUAGAUAUAAAAUGUUGAUUUAGAUUGAGGAUGUCAAUUUAGAUGUAAGAUUUGGAUGUCUAAUGCAGAUUUAGAUUUAGGAUUUAGUUUGGAAUUUAAGAUUUAGAUAACAAAUAUAGAUAAUUAUAUAAGGCGUAUGUUGAAAAGCUGACAGAGAGCUAAAGUGUUGCACGUUUCUCAGCAGGAAAAGAUUGUAAACGGCCCCCAUAGGUAAAAGUGUUUCAGGCAUCACGACUUUGGGGGUAACCGAGGAUAAGAUGUCCCGACCUCCUGCCUAGAACACCCCGCCCUGCGGCUAUUUAUUUUCAAUAAGUGUUUGAAUACGAGUUCAAACAAUCACACACAAACUGAACAUUGACAGAAAUCGUACAUUUUAGGAACUCUUCUAUUGUCAACAAUAUGUAUUAUUAAUUGUCUGGGGUUAUAAUGUAGUAAUUGCAACUGGACGUAGUUUCAUGCCACUUUUCAUGUCAUUUUUAACCAUCUUCUAAUGUUAUAUAUCUUGCAAGGCUUUGAUUGUCAUAUUCAUGCUACCCUGACACGCCACAUGGUCUAUUUGUUGCAUUAUAUUGUCCUGUUCUCGAAAUGUAGACAUUGUGGUCGCUUAUUUUAUAGGGUUGUGUGUUGUAUGAGUCUAACUUGAAUAGGUCAGGGAUAUGUAGUUGGAUUUCACUCUACAGUAUUGUGAGUUUGGAUAUAAUUUUCUUUACUCAAAAACAGUUUUGUACAGUUGUCUGAACUUGUGGAUUCGUAUUUCUACUCUUGAUGUAUAAAGCCAACAUUAAAUGCUGCCAUCCAGAGUAUGUAUAAUUGAAUGUAUUCCAAGUGUUAACUCGAACAUUCAAAUUUUGUGUCCUAGAAGAACUCUCUGUAGAUAUAUUUUUUAUGCAAUUAAGUUUCCAACCUUUUUAAUGUAGGCUACUGUUUGUGAUACACAAUCAUUAAAAGUCCCCAAAUGGGACGAAUAAAGUACAUCUCAUCUAUUGCACCAUCUGAAAUCAUACUGAUAUAACAAGCAUAAUUACAAAAAAGAAUACUUUAUUGUUAUACAAUUUAAUCAAAAUGGUCUGGUUAACCUAUUCAGUAAUUUAUAUACUGCUGUCGAGAGGUCCCUGAGCAAGGCAACACACCCAGA